AACGAACGCUGGCGGCAUGCCUAACACAUGCAAGUCGAACGAGACCUUCGGGUCUAGUGGCGCACGGGUGCGUAACGCGUGGGAAUCUGCCCUUGGGUUCGGAAUAACUCGCCGAAAGGCGUGCUAAUACCGGAUGAUGUCGUAAGACCAAAGAUUUAUCGCCCAGGGAUGAGCCCGCGUAAGAUUAGGUAGUUGGUGAGGUAAAGGCUCACCAAGCCGACGAUCUUUAGCUGGUCUGAGAGGAUGAUCGGCCACACUGGAACUGAGACACGGUCCAG
rnacentral:rRNA from 1 species